GUACAUGUGUGUGGUGUGUGGUAUGUGUGUGGUGUGUGUGAUGUGUAUGAUGUGUGUGUGUGUGGUGUGUGUGUUGGGCCCAGGGCCUGAGGAGGAAGCAGGGCUGCCCAGGAAAAUGCCACCCUGGAGAGGCCCCUAUCCCUCCCUGCCUGUCCUCCCUGUCCCCCUCUGUCCCUCCCUGCCCAUCCUCCCCUGUCCCCCUCCAUCCACCUCCCACCCGUCCCUCCUCCUACGGCGGGCGGCCCGUCUUUUGUGCUGCCUGUGAGAAGCACAGGGAGGGCUGGGCGGGCGUGAACCCGCUGGCAGCCAGUGUGUGCGCAGCCCUGGCCCGGGCCUCCCAGCCCCUGCAUCCCGAGCACCCGUGGGGCAGUUGGCAGCGUCCUGGCACAGCCUGGGAGAUUAAUUGGUGCUUUUAAUGACGGCUGGUCUGGCGAGACUACAGUGAGUACAGGCUGGGCCGGCACAGGCUGUGAACAGAGGCUGGAAAGGCCCCACCCCCGGAUGGGUCUCCAGCGGAGAGGAGGGGUUCACAGGACCCCUCUCAAGACCCCCUUCGGGAGUCAGCUUCCUGGCCGCGCACACUUGGAGCUCUGGGCUGGGUUGCAGCUCCCUGUGCUUCACUGUCUCAGGUGCUGACAGUGCCAGCUGGGACACGAGUUCCGGUUUGGGUCAAGGCUGGCCUGUUGGCCGGGGUGGCGUCUGCCUGAGAACUGGCCUUGUCUGUGCCUUAAGCUUCCCGGCGCUCACAGGGCAGUGGAAAACCACUCGGUGAGCCUUUCUUGGCACCCUGCAGGAGCAGUGCUUUCUGGGCCCUCUGCGGCCAGAGCUGGCCCCGCUGCAGCUCACUUCUGCCUGCAGCUCAGACAUCCUCCUGGUCCUCCUGAUGCCCCCGGCCUCCACGGAGGACGAGCGUCUCCAGCCCAGCCCUCCCCAUCUCCACCUUCCGCCCCCCCGACACACUGGGAGCCUCCUGAUCCGUGAACCCGUGCUGGCGGGGGUAGCUACUGACUGCUGAGGACCCCUGCCCGGGCUGUUCUCACGUGGCAAGGAUUUGGGGAGCGGGCGAUGCUUAGCUCAAAGCAUGGAGACCAGCGCUGCCCUCUCCCCAGCGACAGGUGCACGCUCAGAUCACGGAUGUGUCGGGAACAGCUGUGACUCCUGCUGCUCAGCGUCUGUCACUCCAGGCUGGGAGCGGAUCCCCAAGCUUCCGGCUGGGCCCAUCCGUCUCCCCUCUCAGUGGUGGGUGGGGGGAGCGCCAACAGCACGCAUUUGCUCUCCGCACUUCUCAUCUGACAGUGGGCAGAGGGUCCUUCUCCAGCCCUAAAACAUCCUCAGGCAGCGCCCUGGGGCUCCAAGCAGCCAGGGAGAGCCCAUCAGCAGGAGAGGACUGACUCCAGAAAAAUCAGCCUUUGUGCCCACUUAGGCUGCCAAGACCUGUGUCCGUCCUUCCACACGCAACCUUCAGAUUUCAUGAGGCUCCUUGCCCGGAAUGUCCAUGUUUGAAAUCUCCCAACACCGAGCCCCAUUUCAAGUAUAACCAAGAGGGAAAAUGGUGCUUGAAAUAAGCAUGCCAUAAAGGAAAACCCGCUUUCUCGAAAUGGGCUCUGGUUGCUCAGGUCCUGACCUCCCCGGCCAGGAUGGAACGUUCCAGAGACCCAUUAGUGCCAAAGGCAAAUUAAAACACACCCUGUAAAAAUGUC